UACGGAGGGAGCUAGCGUUGUUCGGAAUUACUGGGCGUAAAGCGUGCGUAGGCGGCUUUGUAAGUUAGAGGUGAAAGCCCGGAGCUCAACUCCGGAAUUGCCUUUAAGACUGCAUCGCUUGAAUCCGGGAGAGGUGAGUGGAACUCCGAGUGUAGAGGUGUAAUUCGUAGAUAUUCGGAAGAACACCAGUGGCGAAGGCGGCUCACUGGCCCGUAACUGACGCUCAGGCGCGAUAGCGUGGGGAUCAAACAGG
rnacentral:rRNA from 1 species